rnacentral:rRNA from 1 species
GAUGAACGCUGGCGGCGUGCUUAACACAUGCAAGUCGAACGAUGAUCUGGCGCUUGCGUCGGGGAUUAGUGGCGAACGGGUGAGUAACACGUGAGUAACCUGCCCUUAACUCUGGGAUAAGCCUUGGAAACGGGGUCUAAUACUGGAUAUUGACUUUACCUCGCAUGGGGUUUGGUUGAAAGAUUUAUUGGUUUUGGAUGGACUCGCGGCCUAUCAGCUUGUUGGUGAGGUAAUGGCUCACCAAGGCGACGACGGGUAGCCGGCCUGAGAGGGUGACCGGCCACACUGGGACUGAGACACGGCCCAGACUCCUACGGGAGGCAGCAGUGGGGAAUAUUGCACAAUGGGCGAAAGCCUGAUGCAGCGACGCCGCGUGAGGGAUGACGGCCUUCGGGUUGUAAACCUCUUUCAGUAGGGAACAAGGCCAGCAUUUUUGUUGG